rnacentral:lncRNA from 1 species
CUGGGGUGUGUCUGGUGUGAACGUAUGUUCACAGCAAGGUGUGCAUGGGCAUUGUUCAGUGUGUGCCUCUGUCAUGGUGGGUGCAUGAAAGAGGUGGCGGGUGAGUGGGUGAAAUGUGCAGACAGGUCCCAGUGGACUCUGAAUGCCCAGCUCUUGGGGCUCUUCCUGGCUUGGUUGCUGCCACAGGUCCCUGGUGGUUCUGCCUUUCUGGUCCGCAGAGAGAUCAACACCCUUCAAACCAGCUGCCUUGUUGGCUGCGGCUCACUCGGUCGGCCUCCCGAUGCCUGCGGUUGCCAUGGAAACCAAAUGCCUUCUCCUGUUCUCAGCCUAGCUGCAGAAGCACUGAAUAUGAGAGAACCCAGACCCUGGCGUCGUGAUAUGGACCCAAGUGCAAGUCUCAGCUCUGCUGUUUUCUAGCGUAUCAGUUUGGGUGAGUGAGUUCUGCCAGUGCCCCUAACGCUGGUCC